GAAAGGAUAAUGAUAAAUGGAGGAAGUCUUGUGGUGCAAUGGGCAGCAUCCCUGCCUCUGAGCUAGAAGCUCAGUUCCCAACCCACCCAAGGACACAGAUGGUCAAGGACGGUACAUUCAAAAAGUGGCCAAACAGGUUGUAAACUCUUUCCAGUGCACACCAAUGGCAAACAGCAGGAAUGGGAGAGAAUGCAGAUCAGCCAUGUCAUGGAAUGAAAUUGGAGCCUCUACUACCGUCAUUGCAGGCAACAACAGGCAGGAUGGAGCUGGAGAGUGGUGACACGACACAACACUUUUCCCUGUAUUUGUAUUGGACGCAUCGACCUGGACCCAAUAUACCAAUCACUACAGCGGACAGCUGAAACUGACACCCGGAAGCGGCAAGGACAGACCACUAUAAAUGCCGGAAGAAACAUCAAAGAAGCGCUUCGCAGGAGGCUCCACAGCACUGAUGAUGUCUCCUAGCCAGGGGACGAAACGUUUGCAACAAAAACUUCCAGUUCGGUGAACAGAACCACUACAGAGACUAAUAGAUAAAAAAAGACAUGGAGUCAUGUUCAAUUAAAUGUUCCUAGAAUUUUGAAAGGUCUAUUGAUGACAGAAACAUAGUUAUGAUUCACGAGCACGGUGGAGACUAUCUCACUUUAUCUGACUCAAACACAUUUUUGUACAUCAGAUACUUUUCAAAGUUACCAAAACUAUCAGUUAUUUGUAUCUACUGAUCUUCACUGAACCAUUCAACACUGCCAGCACUCAAAGUUGUGUUCCAUAUUUGAUAAUGACCUGCAUAUUUGUAUAAAACUAUAGGGAUAUGAAAGUUUACAAACCAAGCAUGUUUCUGUGGCCUUAAGGUGAAUCUUUCAACAGUUUAUCAGUUUGAAGAUUCAAAGCAUAAAUUCUCCUUGUGUCUUGUAACUAAAGUUGCAGAAUCCUAUUUUUUGCAUUGAAUUAUUUUAGGGAGGAAAAUUACAGCAUAGAGAUUCCAGCUCCUGAUUGCCAUUCCCUGUUCUUGCUGUAUGCCUGGAUUUUCACAGAAACUCUGCAGAAUUUUCAAACAGAUGGGUGGUAUCUGGAUUCGGAGCUCCCAUUUCCUUUUCCAGCAGAUCCGAUUUUCACCAGUGGGGGAAAGGGUCAGAUUGUGACUCACACAUAAUGAAGAACUCAGUGUUAACUUCAAACAGACCACAUUUCUUUUGCCUGGAUCUUGAAAGACUGUGGAACUGCCAAGCUGUAAACUUAUUUUCAUGUCCAGCCUGUUAAAAUAUAAAAAUAUCAGCUUGCCUUUGUCAAUGAGAUGUUAAAAGAAUCUGUUGUAUCAGUGACAAAAGCUGCUCAUUGGUACAAUACCAUCAUAAGGACUAUCAUUCUGUCAGUAUUAAUACUUGGCUGCUUUUCAUAACAUAUCAUUGUAUCAUUGGAAACCUCAAACUCAUAGUUUGAUUCUCGACUUAGAGGUUAUUACAGGGUUGAUGUCUGUGAUUUGGUUUUGUGAAUACAACUCCUCAUUUUAAAAGUGUUUAAGUACUUGAGGGAAUUUAAAAGCUUAGAUGAGCUUUUAUGAAUGAGAAUAUUUUUCUAAAUACAGUGAACAUUGUAAGAGACAUUUAAAUCCUAAUUUUACUUAAUCUCAACAAAGCCCCUGAGGUCUGCACCUGUUGGGUACUAGAUGUGCUUGCAUGGAGGAUCGAAGCACAAAGGUUAGUGAGUGGGUUGGUGCAGGUGGUCAUGAACUUCAACCUUCAGCAGUAAAUAUCACCAAUGAUCUAUUCUGGUCCAUCCACAUUGAUGCGACAGUCAAGAAAGCACGCCAAUGACUAAGGAAGGCUAAGGAAAUUCAAUAUGUUCGCUAUGACUCUUAUCAAUUUAUGUUGAUGCACCAUGGAAAGCAUCCUACCCAGAUGCAUCACAGCUUGGUAUGGCAACUGCUCUACCCUAGACAACAAAAAAUUACAGAGAGUUGUGAAUGCAGCCCAGUCCAUCACGAGAAACAGCCGUCCUUCCAUUGACUCAGUUAUACUUCUAGCUGUCUUGGGAAAGCACCCAACGUAACCAAAGACCCAUCCUGCCCUGGUUAUACUCUCUUCAACCUUCUUUCAUCAGGCAGAAAAUACAAAAGUUUGGAAACACAUACCAACAGAUUUAAGAACAGCUUCUUCCCUGCUGUUACGAGACUUAUUAAUGAUCCUCGAAUAUAUUAGAGUUGAUCAUUUUCUGCAACCUUCUUUGUAGCUAUAACACUAUAUUCUGCAUUCUGUUCUAUUACACUGAUGUACUUAUGUAAGGUAUGAUUUAUCUGGAUAGCAGGCAAAAUGACACUUUUCACUGUAUCUUGUUGCAUGUGACAAUAAUAAAUCAAAUCAAAUCCAAAA